rnacentral:tRNA from 1 species
AAGGAUUUAAGUUAAACUAAACUAGUAACCUUCAAAGUUACCAAUAAAGACUUACUCCUUUAAGCCUUA